AAGUCGUAACAAGGUUUCCGUAGGUGAACCUGCGGAAGGAUCAUUAAAAGAUUUUGGAUUAAUUUUUUUUGGGGUUUUUAUAAACUCUAAAAAAAUAAUUCACCUUUUGUGCAUUGUUAUUAAGAUAUACUUUGGUUAGGAAUUAACUUCUCGCUAACUCUAUCCUUAUUGUAAGGACAGUUGGCUAUGAAGCGUGCCUACCAAGGUUUUUUUAUCAAACUCUUUGUAUUUUGUCUGACCUAAAUAAAUAAUAAUUAAAUCAUAACUUUCAACAACGGAUCUCUUGGCUCUC
rnacentral:misc_RNA from 1 species